rnacentral:rRNA from 1 species
GUCGAGAAUCGUUCACAAUGGGGGCAACCCUGAUGGAGCGACGCCGCGUGGAGGAUAAGGUCUUCGGAUUGUAAACUCCUGUCAUGCGUGAACAAGGUUGCUUGGUUAAUACCUGGGCAAAUUGAUGGUAACGCAAGAGGAAGAGACGGCUAACUCUGUGCCAGCAGCCGCGGUAAUACAGAGGUCUCAAGCGUUGUUCGGAAUCACUGGGCGUAAAGGGUGCGUAGGUGGCGUGGUAAGUCAGAUGUGAAAGCCCGGGGCUCAACCUCGGAACUGCAUCCGAUACUGCCAUGCUAGAGUACUGGAGAGGUGACUAGAAUUCUCGGUGUAGCAGUGAAAUGCGUAGAUAUCGAGAGGAAUACCAAAGGCGUAGGCAGGUCACUGGACAGUUACUGACACUGAGGCACGAAGGCCAGGGGAGCGAACGGGAUUAGAAACCCGGGUAGUCC